AGGUGUGUCCCUGUCACUCACCCAGGCCGUGGUACAGGAUGUUCCCCUGUCCCCAGGUGUCCCCAGGUGUCCCUGUCACUCACCCAGGCCGUGGUACAGGACGUUCCCCUGUCCCCAGGUGUCCCCAGGUGUCACUGUCACUCACCCAGGCCGUGGUACAG